CUGGGAUCUGAAGACUUCCCACUUAGUAUCUGAUCCUAAAACUGCUUCAACUCCUAUGGCACCUAUAGGUUUUUUUUUUUUUUUUUUUUUUACAUAGAAGUUCCCUCAGAGGUUCCACUGUCCAGAACAGUACAGAUUGGUGCUUGGUGUAAACGCCACUGGGAUCAGUAUGGCAUGUAUGGAUAUUAUUGCUGAUGCAUCCAGCCUGCGGGUUUAUAACAGCAUCUCCCACUGACGACUGAUCCAUACCUUCCUGGAUUGUACAUCUUGUACAUCUUCCUGUAAGGAAGUAGACUGGGAGACUGAUCUAGCUGGGAAAAAAUCAGGAGGAAAGAAGAAAGAUUUCAUAUACAUCAGCUUCCAGAACGGACCAGUGCCAACACAAUCAAUAUUAACUAUGGUACAAUAAUUAUUAACCAAUAGGAGCUCCUUAGGAUUUCAAUGCUUCAGAAAAAUAUAGAGUUAUAGCCUUUUUAAAUAUAUAGUUAAAUUAUUCUUUCUUCUCCUAGACUUCAGACCACAAAAUAUAUUAUAUUCUCACUCCAGACUGCAACUGACAGACUUAAACUAAGAAAAAACGUUGCCUUUCUGAUAGCAGUUGAAGUGUCUUACAUAGGAAUACUUGCCCCAUUCCAAUUUUGUUCUUUACAAAGUUAAUGUUUUCCCUUUCUUGUUCACUGAAGCCAUCAUCACCAUCAAUUAAAUAUGAUGAAAAUGCAUACAAAAAGAUUUUCCCCUCUGUCAUUUUAGAAUAACUGGAGUAUACACUUGUAAAUUACUCAUUUUGUAAAGCUAUAUUAGAUUUUAUGACAAAAAACAUUGUCUAUAUUUGAAAAAAUAGUUUGCAAUAAGCCCAGGAUGUACAGUUGUUGAAGCUAUUGGUUUUCAAAUACUUCAACCGUGACACUUAAUGGGACCGAUUUUGCAGACAGUACCAGGCUGCCAUAGAGACUGCUGGAUAACUGAAGUCCAUGGCUGAGAGAGGAACUGAGGCUGUUCAGGCCAAUCUUACCAACUUGCUGUAGGACGUGGCUGUGUACCCAGCACAGCUUCAUACUGCAAAGGCAGCCCUGAAGAAGCAAUACCAUCUGAAUUUCUUCCCCGGAUGCCACUCUGCUCUGACAGAAGAUUUUGAUAUGCAUCUCCUGAGGGCAGGAAUUAUGGCCACCACUGCUUCAAGCUAUUCAAAACAUCUUGUAUUCCCAACAUUGAACCGGUGUGUAAGGGUUAAAGCAAG
ensembl:lncRNA